GAUGAACGCUGGCGGCGUGCCUAAUACAUGCAAGUCGAGCGAACAGACGAGGAGCUUGCUCCUCUGACGUUAGCGGCGGACGGGUGAGUAACACGUGAAUAACCUACCUAUAAGACUGGGAUAACUUCGGGAAACCGGAGCUAAUACCGGAUAACAUGUUGAACCGCAUGGUUCAACAGUGAAAGACGGUCUUGCUGUCACUUAUAGAUGGAUCCGCGCCGCAUUAGCUAGUUGGUAAGGUAACGGCUUACCAAGGCAACGAUGCGUAGCCGACCUGAGAGGGUGAUCGGCCACACUGGAACUGAGACACGGUCCAGACUCCUACGGGAGGCAGCAGUAGGGAAUCUUCCGCAAUGGGCGAAAUCCUGACGGAGCAACGCCGCGUGAGUGAAGAAGGUCUUCGGAUCGUAAAACUCUGUUAUUAGGGAAGAACAAAUGUGUAAGUAACUAUGCACGUCUUGACGGUACCUAAUCAGAAAGCCACGGCUAACUACGUG
rnacentral:rRNA from 1 species